rnacentral:rRNA from 1 species
AUGCAUCAUGUAUUCAUAUGUGGCCAAGGUGUCCUAGAAACCAGAGUCCACAUCUUCUUCCACUGUGACUUUCCCAAGGUUUGCUGGUCAUAUAUUUGUGGUCAAUGGAAUCCUCCAACCGGGGUAGGACAGCUUCAAAAUGUUACUGAGCAUUUUGGAAACCAUUCGGUUGUGCCUUUCUUCUUGGAGAUCUUCAUAACCUUUGCUUGGGCAAUUUGGACAACAAGGAAUGACUUCAUUUUCAAUGGAAUUCAGCCAAGCUUAUACAAUUGCAUGAGAAAAUUUAAGGAGAAAAUUAAUUGGCUGCUCUUAAGGACCACAAGGAAAAGAUAUCAUCAGUUUGAAGCGCGUUAA